GUGGGGAAUUUUGGACAAUGGGCGCAAGCCUGAUCCAGCAAUGCCGCGUGCAGGAAGAAGGCCUUCGGGUUGUAAACUGCUUUUGUACGGAACGAAACGGUCCUGGCUAAUACCCGGGGCUAAUGACGGUACCGUAAGAAUAAGCACCGGCUACUACGUGCCAGCAGCCGCGGUAAUACGUAGGGUGCGAGCGUUAAUCGGAAUUACUGGGCGUAAAGCGUGCGCAGGCGGUGCUGUAAGACAGGCGUGAAAUCCCCGGGCUCAACCUGGGAAUUGCGCUUGUGACUGCAGUGCUGGAGUGCGGCAGAGGGGGAUGGAAUUCCGCGUGUAGCAGUGAAAUGCGUAGAUAUGCGGAGGAACACCGAUGGCGAAGGCAAUCCCCUGGGCCUGCACUGACGCUCAUGCACGAAAGCGUGGGGAGCAAACAGGAUUAGAUACCCGUGUAGUCC
rnacentral:rRNA from 1 species